UUUCCGUAGGUCGCUAGAGUUCAGCCUACCAAAGCAAACCUUUCAAAACUGCUAGUCUCUCCCCGAGGCGACACGCUCAAUGUUGCGGAGAGGCCCUCUUUUCAGAGGGUAAUCCGCAGCCGGCCCCCUAAAGGCUGGUUCAGAGACUCAAUGAGUGUGGGUUUGGCCUUUUGGCCAGGCUUAAGAUAGAGCCCGUCCCUGUAGGCAACUGCGGGGGAUGAACGGAACCUGCGGAAGGAUCAUUAAAGAAUCGGUGACCCUCGCGGUCCCAUUCUCACCCUUUGUAUACCAAACUUCAGUUGCUUUGGCUGGCCUUCGCGGGCCGGGCAGAGGACUCAAACCCUUGAAUCUUUGCUGUCUGAGUACUAUAUAAUAGUUAAAACUUUCAACAACGGAUCUCUUGGUUCUG
rnacentral:misc_RNA from 1 species